UACGUAGGGUGCAAGCGUUAAUCGGAAUUACUGGGCGUAAAGCGUGCGCAGGCGGUUUUGUAAGUCUGUCGUGAAAUCCCCGGGCUCAACCUGGGAACUGCAUCUGUGACUGCAUCGCUGGAGUGCGGCAGAGGGGGAUGGAAUUCCGCGUGUAGCAGUGAAAUGCGUAGAUAUGCGGAGGAACACCGAUGGCGAAGGCAAUCCCCUGGGCCUGCACUGACGCUCAUGCACGAAAGGCGUGGGGAGCAAACAGG
rnacentral:rRNA from 1 species